AUGGUUGGUUCCAGUUCUAAUACUACUCCUGACCGUGACAUAAUAAUUGAGCCAAAGAUGAGUAAGCUGAAACGAGUAUCCUAUGUUCAUCCGAAGUUUAUGGCACUCCAAUAUCCGCUUUUGUUUCCGAAUGGAGAAGAUGGCUACCAUGACAAAAUUCCAUUUAAUAGCGCUGAUCCUGAUAAUCUAAGUGAUCCUUUGACACCUAGGCUUGGUGGUAGGCUCUUUCAACAACACAUUGUUGAUGCAUUCUCCUCCAUUGAGCAAACACGGUUAUGGUGGUUCAGGAAAAACCAGACCAUAUUAAGGAAUGAACUUUAUAGCCAUAUCUGUGAUUCUGUACGCAAUGGAAAUGCUAAUCCAGCUGAUGUUGGAAAAGGAGUAAUUCUACCUUCAGGCUUUGUCGGAUCAAAGAGGUACAUGCAACAGAAUUUUCAAGACGCUUUGGCGGUUUGUAGACAUGUUGGUCAUCCAGAUGUUUUCCUAACGAUGACUUGCAAUCCUUUGUGGGAUGAAAUUCAAAAGAUGAUGCAAUUGGUACCUGGUUGCGAGACAGAAAACUCACCAGAUAUUAUAUCUCGAGUUUUCCGAUUGAAACUUGAUCAACUAACAACUGACAUUAAGAAGAAUGGCCAUUUUGGUGUUUGUGUUGGAGUUAUGUACGUGGUUGAGUUCCAGAAGAGAGGUCUUCCGCACGUUCACAUGCUCAUAUGGCUUGACAGCGCAUCGAAGAAAUAUCUUAAGAAUAACGUGGACAAAUUUGUGUCAGCAGAAAUACCUGAUCCGGUUAAAGAUCCCGUUGGCUAUGCAGCAGUCAAAGCCUUUAUGAUACAUGGCCCAUGUGGCCUUCAAAAUCCUAAAUCUCCCUGCAUGAAAGGCAUGAAAUGUAUCCGGCAUUUUCCCAAAAAGUACUGCCCAAGAACUAUGUUUGAUGAGAGCGGUUUCCCACUAUACAAACGGCGUCGACAAAACAUCACUGUCAAAGUUCGCAAUGCGGAGUUGGAUAACCAGUGGGUAGUGCCUUAUAACAGAGAUUUAUUAGUCAAGUACCAAUGCCAUAUGAAUAUUGAAAUCUGCUGUCAUGCUCGAAGCCUUAAAUAUUUAUUCAAAUAUUGCUUGAAAGGGCAUGAUACAGCAACUGUUCAUGUCACUGGUAGGAAGCGAACAUCAUCCAAUGUAAAUCCUAAUGAGCCUGUAGAUGAAAUUCAGGCUUACUUUGACGGGAGGUACAUAUGUGGUGCUGAGUCUGCUUAUAGGAUUUUCGGGUUCCCUAUACACCACCGCACUAUCUCUGUGGAGCGUUUACCAUUUCAUUUGCCCGGACAGAAGAAUUGUACCUUCUCCUCCAGCCAGCCUUUACAGAAAGUUGCAGAGAAGGAAAAAGACAAGCUAAGCAAGCUCGAAGCUUUUUUUCUGCUGUGUGCUUUCGAUACUAAUGCCAGGAAAUGUACAUACCAGCAAAUCCCAGAGCACUAUGUCUGGAAUGAUGGUCAGAGGAGAUGGAAUCCAAGAAAGAGAGGUUUUCAAAUUGGACGUUUAUCAUACACGCAUCAUAGUAGUGGUGAAGUAUGGUUCAUGCGUUUGCUCCUCACAAAGGUUUGUGGUCCAACAUCAUUUAAAAGUCUGAGAACAGUUAAUGGUGUAUGUCAUGCGACUUUUCGCGAUGCCUGCAAGGACUAUGGUUUGCUUGAUGAUGACAAAGAGUGGCAUGAGGUUAUACAGCAAUGUGCAAAUGGUGGUUUACCACCACAGAUAAGACAACUAUUUGUGCACAUAAUAGUAAAUUGCAAGGUCACAGAUUUAUUACAUCUGUGGAAUUCCCAUUGGAAACACAUGGUUGAAGACAUUUUACUUAAACGUCGUCAACUAGCCAAGGAUGAUAACCUCAUGCUUAGUGAGAAGCAGGUCCAAUUUUAUGCUCUUGCAGAAAUAGAUGAUUUGCUCAGAUCAAUAGGGAAGUCAUUGAAGAAUUUCCCACAAUUACCACAACCUCCAAGCUCAUAUUUAAACCAUGGUUCCAACAACUUGAUUAUAGAAGAAACCAGUUACAAUAUUGCUGAGAUGAAAGCCGAGAAUGAAAAAUUGUUGGAAACAAUGAAUGAAGAACAAAGUCAUGUGUACAAUGCUAUACUGCAUUCUGUUCAUAACAAAGAAGGUGGACUUUUUUUUGUAUAUGGAAGUGGUGGAUGUGGUAAGACGUAUUUGUGGAGGUCUUUGAUAUCAAAGCUAAGGUCAGAAGGAGAGAUUGUUCUUCCAGUCGCCUCUUCUGGCAUUGCAGCUACGUUAUUGCCUGGUGGUCGCAUCGCGCAUUCACGUUUCAAGAUUCCUAUUGUCCUUGAUGAAUUCUCACUAUGCGGUAUAGGUCAGAAUUCUGACAUUGCAGAGCUUAUCAGAAAAACAAGACUUAUUAUCUGGGACGAAGCCCCUAUGCAACAUAGAUUUGCAUUUGAAUGUUUGGAUCGGUCACUUCGAGAUAUAAUGAAAGUUGUUGAUCCAAUACAUGCCUCACAGCCUUUUGGAGGGAUAACAGUACUUUUGGGAGGCAAUUUUAGACAGAUUCUCCCAGUCAUUCCACAAGGUGAUCGAAGUCAAAUUCUGUCUGCGUGCAUUACUAGAUCUCGAUUGUGGAAUAUUUGUACAAUUUUUCUUCUGAAGAGAAACAUGCGGCUUAACAAGGGUAAUUCCCAGCAAGAAAUUGACGAACUAAAUGCUUUUGCGCAAUGGGUUCUGGACAUUGGUGAUGGAAAAUUUUCAGGGUCAACUCUCGCAGGAGGUCCUGACAUGUUAGAAGAUGAUAUCUUAGUCCCAGGUCAAUUCUGUGAUAUGGAUAGAGAGAAUUCUGUUGAAAAUAUGAUCAAAACAAUAUAUCCAGAUUUUGUCAACAAUUGUGGAAAUGCAAAGUAUUUGAGUGAGAGGGCAAUAUUGACACCUACUAACCAAACAGUAGGUCACCUUAAUUCUCAAAUAGUUGAUAUGAUUCCAGGCGAGUCUGUUACUUACUAUAGUGUCGACAGUGCUGAAGAAUUCGCUGGGAAUGACAGUGAUCUACAUUAUGCUUUUCCUAUAGAGUACCUAAACUCAAUGAAUCUCCCUGGAAUGCCGCUUCAUGACCUCAAACUGAAGGUUGGUGCUGUUGUAAUGCUGAUGCGGAAUCUUAAUCAGACUCUAGGACUUUGCAACAGAACUAGGAUGGUUGUCACAAAGUGUCUCAAAUUCUGCGUUGAGUGUGCGGUAAUAUGCGGAUCUUUUGUUGGUACUAAACACUUCAUUCCAAGGAUGGAAUUAUGUCCUAGCGAUACUAGGAUGCCUUUUAAGUUGGUUAGGAAGCAGAUGCCGCUUCAGAUUUGAUACGCGAUGACCAUCAACAAGUCACAAGGACAAUCACUUCAAACUGUUGGCCUUUAUCUUCCUAAACCAGUUUUUACGCAUGGCCAGUUUUAUGUUGCCAUAAGCCGGGUAACAUCUCCAUCUGGGUUGAAUGUUUUUAUUGAUGAUGAAAGUGGUUGCACCACAGAUUUAACACAGAAUGUAGUGUAUAAGGAGGUUUUCUAUGCUCUGCCAAAAACUUAA